rnacentral:tRNA from 2 species
CAGGGGGUAUUUUAUGUUUAAAAUAUUAGUUUUGGGGAUUAAUGAAAUGGUAUUUCACCUUUCCUCUGA